rnacentral:rRNA from 1 species
AACGAACGCUGGCGGCAUGCCUAACACAUGCAAGUCGAACGAGAUCCUUCGGGGUCUAGUGGCGGACGGGUGAGUAACGCGUGGGGACCUGCCCAGGGGUACGGAAUAACUACGGGAAACUGUAGCUAAUACCGUAUGAUGCCGAAAGGCCAAAGAUUUAUCGCCCUUGGAUGGACCCGCGUUGGAUUAGCUAGUUGGUGAGGUAAUGGCUCACCAAGGCGACGAUCCAUAGCUGGUUUGAGAAGAUGAUCAGCCACACUGGGACUGAGACACGGCCCAGACUCCUACGGGAGGCAGCAGUGGGGAAUAUUGGACAAUGGGGGCAACCCUGAUCCAGCAAUGCCGCGUGAGUGAAGAAGGCCUUAGGGGUUGUAAAGCUCUUUCAGAUGGGAAGAUAAUGACGGUACCAUCAGAAGAAGCCCCCGGCUAAACUCCGUGCCAGCAGCCGCGGUAAU